CUUUCUUUGCUGGCGACCGGCGCACGGGUGAGUAACACGUAUCCAACCUGCCCUUUACUCGGGGAUAGCCUUUCGAAAGAAAGAUUAAUACCCGAUAGUAUAAUGAUUCCGCAUGGUUUCAUUAUUAAAGGAUUCCGGUAAAGGAUGGGGAUGCGUUCCAUUAGGUUGUUGGUGAGGUAACGGCUCACCAAGCCUUCGAUGGAUAGGGGUUCUGAGAGGAAGGUCCCCCAUAUUGGAACUGAGACACGGUCCAA
rnacentral:rRNA from 1 species